UUAGGAAUCUUCCACAAUGGGCGAAAGCCUGAUGGAGCGACGCCGCGUGAGGGAUGAAGGCCUUAGGGUUGUAAACCUCUAAAAGAGGGACGAUAAUGACGGUACCUCUUGAAUAGCACCGGCUAACUCCGUGCCAGCAGCCGCGGUAAUACGGAGGGUGCAAGCGUUAUCCGGAAUCACUGGGCGUAAAGGGCGCGUAGGCGGUCUGUUAAGUCCGAUGUUAAAUCCCGGGGCUCAACCCCGGAUAAGCGUUGGAUACUGGCAGGCUAGACGGUUGGAGAGGCGAGUGGAAUUACCAGUGUAGCGGUCGAAUGCGUAGAUACUGGUAGGAACACCCAUUGCGAAGGCAGCUCGCUGGACAACACGUGACGCUGAGGCGCGAAAGUGUGGGGAGCAAACC
rnacentral:rRNA from 1 species